rnacentral:ncRNA from 1 species
GGUCAAGUAGAAAAGGGCGCAUGGUGAAUGCCUAGGCACUAGAAGCCGAUGAAGGACGUGACGAACCACGAAAGGCUUCGGGGAGCAGUAAGUAAGCAAUGAUCCGGAGAUAUCCGAAUGGGGGAACCCAAUACCGGGAGGUAUUAUCAAGAGCUGUUAAGGCUGUUGAAGGAAGACGCAGUGAACUGAAACAUCUAAGUAGCUGCAGGAAGAGAAAGAAAAAUCGAUUUCCCAAGUAGCGGCGAGCGAACAGGAAAGAGCCCAAACCAGCUGGCUUGCCAGUUGGGGUAGUAGGACUGCAGGAAAGCACUUGAAGCGAUAGCAGAAUUAUCUGGAAAGAUAAGCCAGAGAGGGUGAGAGCCCCGUAAGCGAAAUUGCAGAGAGACUUAGCAGGAUCCUGAGUAGGUCGGGACACGAGGAAUCCCGAUUGAAACCGCGAGGACCAUCUCGCAAGGCUAAAUACUAACUAGUGACCGAUAGUGAACCAGUACCGUGAGGGAAAGGUGAAAAGAACCCCGGAAGGGGAGUGAAAGAGAACCUGAAACCGUGUGCCUACAAGUAGUCAAAGCACAUUAAAGUGUAAUGGCGUGCCUUUUGUAGAAUGAACCGGCGAGUUACGUUAUGGUGCAAGGUUAAGUCAGAAAAGACGGAGCCGGAGCGAAAGCGAGUCUGAAGAGGGCGAGAGAGUAUCAUGACGUAGACCCGAAACCAAGUGACCUACCCAUGACCAGGUUGAAGGCGUGGUAAAACACGCUGGAGGACCGAACCCACGUGAGUUAAAAAUCGCGGGGAUGAGUUGUGGGUAGCGGUGAAAUUCCAAACGAACUUGGAGAUAGCUGGUUCUCUCCGAAAUAGCUUUAGGGCUAGCCUCGUGUGAAUGAUAAUGGAGGUAGAGCGCUGUUUGGACUAGGGGCCCGUCAGGGGUUACUGAAUCCAGAUAAACUCCGAAUGCCAGAUAUCAAUGCACGGGAGUCAGACUGCGAGUGAUAAGAUCCGUAGUCGAAAGGGAAACAGCCCAGAUCACCAGUUAAGGUCCCCAAAUCUAUGCUAAGUGGAAAAGGAUGUGGAGUUGCGUAGACAACUAGGAUGUUGGCUUAGAAGCAGCCACCAUUUAAAGAGUGCGUAAUAGCUCACUAGUCGAGUGACGCUGCGCCGAAAAUGUACCGGGGCUAAGCAUAGUACCGAAACUGUGGAUGCAUAUCAAAGGAUAUGCGUGGUAGGAGAGCGUUCUAAGUGCGGAGAAGUUAGAUCGAGAGGACUAAUGGAGCGCUUAGAAGUGAGAAUGCCGGUAUGAGUAGCGAAAGAUAGGUGAGAAUCCUAUCCGCCGAAAGACUAAGGUUUCCUGGGGCAGGCUCGUCCGCCCAGGGUAAGUCGGGACCUAAGGUAAGGCCGAGAGGCGUAGCCGAUGGACAACAGGUAGAGAUUCCUGUACUGAAAUUGUUCGAUAUGAGCAAAGGAGGGACGCAGUAGGCUAAUGACGCAUGUUGCUGGAAAUACAUGUGCAAGCAGUAAGAAGAAAGAUGAGUCAAAUGCUUG